CCAAACCUACAUCGCCGCAUCUCUUCCUCCACGACCGCACCCGUCGCCGCCGAGAACAUCUGCUCCUCCCGUCGCCGGCGUGCUGAGAUCUCCCGUCGCCGCAUCUCUGUUCCUCUCCCCUUCGGUUCUUCUGUCAAUCGAUUCCUCUCCCAUUUCAUUCAAUCGAUUCUCUGUGUCUCUAUACCCCACCAUUCCAAUCUCCCAAACAAUGCUGUCUUCUCACUCGCGGUUCCGCCCUCUCCACGUCGAGCCCAUCCACCAUCUCAGACGAAGCAUAAUUACCUCAUGUGCUUCCUUAACACAUAAAUAGUAGAUGGAAGGGGACAGAAUCCAAUGGAGAAACGUCUUCUGCAACUUCUCUGUGGUAUUUAUGCUUCUAUUAGAUAAAGACCAUAUGAAGUAACUUUACUUUCUUAGGCACUCUGGACUCCCGGAUCCAAGGGGGAUUUGAGUUUAGCUCUCGAUUUGGUGAGUUGGAGAAAGGCAGAUUUCGCCGUGACCCGUGAAGGAGCCAAAAGGGUCAAUCUUGGAAUUUGAAACCUAAAUUUAGCUUUGGAGGGUUAUCUAAUUUUUCUUUCUUCCCCCUGGGAACUGUUGAUUGUGCACAUUAGCAAGGUUUCUGCUCAUUAUUCUCACAGUACUUGGUAAACUUUAGUACUGUGAAGGGAACAUAUGCAAAGAUGGGGCGCUUGAAGCUGCAAACUGGAAUAAAUGCAAUUGAGGAAGAACCUGAGGAGUGUGAUGUCACAUAUACAAAUAAAACUGCUUUAGCUUGCAUGAUUAAUUCAGAAAUUGGUGCUGUAUUGGCAGUAAUGAGAAGAAAUGUAAGAUGGGGAGGUCGAUAUAUGUCAGGUGAUGAUCAAUUAGAACACUCUUUAAUUCAUUCACUGAAGGCAUUAAGAAGGCAGAUAUAUUCAUGGCAGCAUCCAUGGCAUACAAUCAACCCUGCUGUGUAUCUUCAACCAUUUUUAGAUGUAAUUAGAUCGGAUGAAACUGGGCCACCUAUUACUGGGGUUGCUUUAUCUUCUGUGUACAAGAUCUUAACUCUUGACAUGAUUGAUCAAAACACUGUUAAUGCUGGAGAUGCUGUUCACUUGAUAGUUGAUGCAGUUACCUGUUGUAGAUUUGAGUUAACAGAUCCUGCAUCAGAAGAAAUGGUUCUGAUGAAAAUACUUCAGGUUCUUCUUGCUUGUAUGAAAAGUAAGGCAUCCAUUWUGUUGAGCAAUCAGCAUGUCUGCACCAUUGUGAAUACUUGUUUUCGCAUAGUUCAUCAAGCAGGCUCAAAGGGUGAGCUAUUGCAACGGAUAGCUCGCCACACAGUUCAUGAGCUUGUUAGGUGUAUCUUUUCACAUCUUUCAAGAAUCAAUACUACAGAACGUGCACUGGUCGGUGGCAAUAGUUCCAGCAAACAGGAGGCUGGUACAGCGGCUAAUGAUGACCAUGUGCUUGGAAGUAGACUAUUGGAGAAUGGAAACUUGGGCCAUGCAUUUGAUUGUCAAUCAUCAUCCAACAAUUUUCAAUCCAAUUCUUCAUCAGGUCCGAUGGCAACUGGGAUGGAGGAAAAUUUACUUGAGGAUGGUAGCACGAAGGAUACUGUUCCAUUUAACUUUCAUCUCAUGAAUGAACCUUAUGGGGUACCCUGCAUGGUGGAAAUUUUUAGAUUCCUCUGUUCAUUGUUAAAUCUAGUUGAGCAUAUGGAGUUGGGAGCUAGGUCAAAUACAAUGGCUUUUGAUGAAGAUGUUCCUCUUUUUGCCUUGGGAUUGAUAAAUUCAGCAAUUGAGCUGGGUGGCCCUUCCUUCCGGCAUCACCCUAGGUUAUUGAGUUUAAUCCAAGAUGAACUAUUUCGAAAUCUUAUGCAAUUUGGUUUAUCAACAAGCUCGCUAAUCCUUUCAAUGGUUUGUAGCAUUGUUCUCAAUCUAUACCACCAUCUGCGCACUGAGCUAAAGUUGCAGCUUGAGGCUUUUUUUUCAUGUGUAAUUUUGAGGCUUGCUCAAAGUAGGUAUGGGGCUUCAUACCAGCAGCAGGAGGUUGCCAUGGAGGCUCUUGUUGAUUUCUGCAGGCAGAAGACAUUUAUGGUGGAGAUGUAUGCAAACUUAGAUUGUGACAUAACUUGCAGUAAUAUCUUUGAAGAUCUUGCUAAUCUUCUGUCAAAGAGUGCUUUUCCAGUUAAUAGUCCUUUGUCUUCAACGCAUAUCCUCGCUUUGGAUGGUCUUAUUGCCAUUAUUCAGGGAAUGGCGGAGAGGAUAGGUAAUGGAACAGGCCUAGAAAAUAGUCCUGUGAAUCUUGAGGAAUAUACUCCUUUCUGGAUGGUAAAAUGUGAAAAUUACAGUGAUCCUAAUCAAUGGGUUCCAUUUGUGAGAAGGAAAAAGUACAUCAAGAGACGGUUAAUGAUUGGAGCUGAUCACUUUAACCGUGAUCCCAAGAAAGGUCUGGAGUUCCUUCAAGGAACCCAUCUCUUGCCCGAUAAACUUGAUCCCAAAAGUGUAGCCUGCUUUUUCAGGUACACUGCUGGUUUGGAUAAAAAUCUGGUUGGGGACUUCCUUGGAAAUCACGAUGAGUUUUGUGUCCAGGUUCUUCAUGAAUUUGCUUGGACUUUUGAUUUUCAGGACAUGAAUUUGGAUACUGCUUUGCGACUGUUUUUGGAAACUUUCAGACUCCCUGGAGAAUCACAGAAGAUACAAAGGGUGCUUGAGGCAUUCUCUGAGAGAUAUUAUGAACAGUCACCUCAAAUUCUUGUGAAUAAGGAUGCUGCUCUUUUACUAUCAUAUUCACUCAUUAUGCUCAAUACAGAUCAGCACAAUGUUCAAGUGAAAAAGAAGAUGACGGAAGAAGAUUUCAUUCGGAAUAGCAGGCACAUAAAUGGAGGCAAUGAUCUACCAAGAGAUUUCCUCUCUGAGUUGUAUCACUCAAUCUGUAAGAACGAGAUUCGUACGACUCCGGAACAAGGCAAUAGUUUUCCUGAAAUGACCCCGAGCCGAUGGAUAGAUCUGAUGCUUAAAUCCAAGAAAUCCUCUCCAUUCAUUGUGUCUGAUUCUAAAGCCUACCUUGAUCGUGACAUAUUUGCUAUAAUGUCAGGGCCAACAAUUGCUGCUAUAUCCGUGGUAUUUGAUCAUGCAGAACAUGAAGAAGUCUAUAAAACAUGUAUUGAUGGAUUCUUAGGUGUUGCAAAGAUCUCCGCGUGCCAUCAUCUUGAAGAUGUACUUGAUGAUCUUGUUGUGUCCCUCUGCAAGUUCACGACCCUCUUGAACCCAUCAUCUGUUGAGGAGCCUGUGCUGGCCUUUGGUGAUGAUACAAAAGCUAGGAUGGCGACUAUGACAGUUUUCACCAUUGCCAACAGGUAUGGUGACAUCAUUCGCACAGGUUGGAGAAACAUCCUUGAUUGCAUCUUACGGUUGCACAAGCUUGGUCUUCUCCCAGCCCGUGUUGCCAGUGAUGCAGCUGAUGAAUCAGAACUUUCUACUGACACUGGGCACGGAAAGCCGCUUACAAGUUCUUUAUCUGCUGCUCAUAUACAGUCAAUUGGAACUCCCAAGAGAUCCUCCGGAUUGAUGGGACGGUUUAGUCAGCUCUUAUCACUUGACACUGAGGAGCCAAGGUCACAGCCUACCGAACAACAACUUGCUGCUCAUCAGCGUACCCUUCAGACUAUUCAGAAGUGCAAUAUUGACAGCAUUUUUACAGAGAGCAAGUUUCUUCAGGCUGAAUCUCUAUUACAGCUGGCACAAGCACUCAUAUGGGCUGCCGGACGGCCCCAGAAAGGAAACAGCUCUCCUGAGGAUGAAGAUACUGCAGUCUUCUGUCUGGAAUUGCUGAUUGCCAUUACUCUGAAUAAUCGAGAUCGAAUCGUGCUUCUUUGGCCAGGUGUUUAUGAUCACAUAUCUACUAUUGUGCAGUCAACUGUCAUGCCCUGUGCCCUGGUGGAGAAAGCUGUUUUUGGACUUCUCCGUAUCUGCCAGCGGUUGCUUCCUUAUAAGGAGAACCUUGCAGAUGAACUUUUGAGAUCUUUGCAACUUGUCUUGAAGCUAGAUGCUCGGGUUGCUGAUGCAUACUGUGAGCAAAUUACACAGGAAGUAAGUCGCCUAGUAAAAGCAAAUGCCUCUCAUAUUAGAUCCCCAUCUGGAUGGCGAACAAUAACAUCCCUACUCUCGAUUACAGCUCGCCACCCGGAAGCAUCUGAGGCAGGAUUUGAUGCGCUACUAUUCAUUGUAUCUGACGGUGCUUACUUGUUACCAGCAAAUUAUACCCUCUGCAUAGAUGCCUCAAGGAAAUUUGCUGAGUCUCGUGUUGGACAGGCUGAACGCUCUUUACGCGCAUUGGAUCUUAUGGCUGGAUCUGUUGAUUGUUUAGCACGGUGGGCUAGGGAGGGUAAGGAAGCUGCAAGGGAGGAGGAAGCAAUUAAAAUGUCACAAGAUAUUGGAGACAUGUGGCUGAGGCUUGUGCAAGGGUUGAGAAAAGUUUGUUUGGACCAACGAGAGGAGGUUAGAAACCAGGCCCUGCUGUCGUUCCAGAAGUGUUUGAUAAGUGUUGAUGAAAUCCACCUUCCACAUGGUUUGUGGUCACAGUGUUUCGAUCUUGUGAUCUUCACAAUGCUCGAUGAUUUACUUGAAAUUGCACAAGGACACUCUCAGAAGGAUUACAGAAACAUGGAAGGGACACUGAUCCUUGCCAUGAAACUCUUGUCCAAAGUGUUCUUACUGUUGCUCCAGGAUCUUUCUCAGUUAACAAACUUUUGCAAACUAUGGCUUGGUGUUCUUAGCCGAAUGGAAAAGUAUGCAAAAGCUAAAGUUAGAGGGAAAAGAAGUGAAAAGCUUCAAGAGCUAGUUCCUGAACUGCUCAAGAACACCUUGCUUGUUAUGAAAACUAAGGGGGUGCUAGUUCAAAGGAGUGCGCUAGGUGGAGAUGGCUUGUGGGAACUCACAUGGCUGCAUGUAAAUAACAUUUCUCCCCCGUUGCAAUCCGAGGUUUUCCCGGAUCAAGAUUCCGACCACUUACUCGGUCAGGGUGAAAAAGGCGGCGUAACAUCCAGUGAAGUGAAUUCUGUUUCUUGGACUGAAAGGGUAGCAUCAGACAGUGCUGGAACUGGAGGGUAGUAUUAUUCAGUUGGAAAUCUCAAACUUGUUUCUGCUAGUGAUGUCACUAUGCAUAUACUUCAGCAUCAGGACAAAGUUUUUGUCUAGAAUUAGUCUGUACCCAUCCAGUAAUUCUUAAAUUUACUGAACGGAUGAUAGGGCACAUCUAUACUGGAGCUUGCUUUGUUUACGGAUCUAUACAAUUAGAGAGAGGCUAUGAAAGUGAGAGCAUGUUUGAGAGCCAGAUGAUGCCAUUAACAAGAGUAAAAAGGUUCUAAGCACGAUGUCUCGAAGAAUCAGUUGAAAUAAAUGGAUAGUCGGGUCAGUAAUUGGCGUUUUGGUACUCGUAAUCAUCCUCAUACUGUAUCUUAAGCUUUCACAUCAUUAAAAGAUGUUUCCUUGAUCACAAAAGGAGACAUACUCUUAUCAUUUGAUUUUCCAAUCGUAUCGAUUGGUUGUCGAUCAUAUGUUUGAUGUAUUUUGUAAUCAGUAUGUGGUAUUCAUGUCUGUAAUUGAAUCAAAUCUUGUGCUUGAUAGUGUUAUGAUCAAUCAAUACCCAGAUAGUAGGCAUUUCUUGAUUGUAUGUAUUUGGUGGUUACUUUCUGUAUCUGCACUUGGUAAAUCAGGACACUAGUGAA